UGUCAUCACCUAUGUGACUGUUAGCCCA
rnacentral:piRNA from 1 species